rnacentral:tRNA from 1 species
GGCUGGCUGGCUCAGUUAGUAGAGCAUAUGACUUUUGAUCUUGGGGUCUUGGGUUCAAGCCCAUGUUGGGUG